UGCAGAAUCCCGUGAACCAUCGAGUCUUUGAACGCAAGUUGCGCCCGAUGCCAUUAGGUUGAGGGCACGUCUGCCUGGGUGUCACAUAUCGAAGCCUCCUGCCAAUUUCCUUUUGACUGGUACUGUGCAGGGUGGAUGUUGGCCUCCCGUGAGCUCUUUCGUCUCAUGGUUGGUUGAAAAUUGAGACCUUGGUAGGGUGUGCCAUGAUAAAUGGUGGUUGUGUGACCCACGAGACCAAUCAUGCGCUGCUCUAUUGAAUUUGGCCUCUUUUACCCAUAUGCGUUUCUAAACGCUCGUGAUGAGACCUCAGGUCAGGCGGGGCUACCCGCUGAAUUUAAGCAUAUCAAUAAGCGGAGGAAAAGAAACUAACAAGGAUUCCCUUAGUAACGGCGAGCGAACCGGGAUAAGCCCACCAUGAGAAUCGGUCGCCCUCGGCGUUCGA
rnacentral:rRNA from 1 species